rnacentral:rRNA from 1 species
CAGUCGCCGCGGUAAUACGGAGGGUGCAAGCGUUAAUCGGAAUUACUGGGCGUAAAGCGCACGCAGGCGGUCUGACAAGUCAGAUGUGAAAUCCCCGGGCUUAACCUGGGAACUGCAUUUGAAACUGUCAGGCUGGAGUCUUGUAGAGGGGGGUGGAAUUCCAGGUGUAGCGGUGAAAUGCGUAGAGAUCUGGAGGAAUACCGGUGGCGAAGGCGGCCCCCUGGACAAAGACUGACGCCCAGGUGCGAAAGCGUGGGGAGCAAACAGGAUUAGAUACCCGAGUAGUCCCUGUCUCUUAUAC